GUGUGCUACAACAUCGCUAAUGCUGCUGCCGUGACAGUUGAAAACGAGGAAAAAAGAGGUUGGAGAACCGUCGAAGACGCACUUUAAACUGUCCCGCCUUCUCCAGAUGAAAACCGCCUUCUUGGUCAGGUCUUAGUGGAUGCUUGGAAAAUGUGAGGCUCCAGCCCUUGCGUCCAACCGAGGUUGACCAGCGAUCCAGUUGAUGGCAAACCUCCCAGUCGAACUCUGAGUGACCACCACACCAUUCAGCGGAUUCUGUGGUAGGAUUAUGUCAGUCCCACUGACCGACACCAAUGAGAGCCUACUUGGAUACUUUUCCUUGACUUU